rnacentral:rRNA from 1 species
GACGAACGCUGGCGGCGUGCUUAACACAUGCAAGUCGAACGGUGAAGCUCCAGCUUGCUGGAGUGGAUCAGUGGCGAACGGGUGAGUAACACGUGAGCAACCUGCCCCUGACUCUGGAAUAAGCGCUGGAAACGGCGUCUAAUACUGGAUACGAGAAGGGUCCGCAUGGGCACCUUCUGGAAAGUUUUUCGGUUGGGGAUGGGCUCGCGGCCUAUCAGCUUGUUGGUGAGGUAAUGGCUCACCAAGGCGACGACGGGUAGCCGGCCUGAGAGGGCGACCGGCCACACUGGGACUGAGACACGGCCCAGACUCCUACGGGAGGCAGCAGUGGGGAAUAUUGCACAAUGGGCGAAAGCCUGAUGCAGCGACGCCGCGUGAGGGAUGACGGCCUUCGGGUUGUAAACCUCUUUCAGCAGGGAAAAAGCGAAAGUGACGGUACCUGCAGAAGAAGCACCGGCUAACUACGUG